UUUUGUCUGCAAUCUAAAUGCACUAAACACACACAUACAAUUACCAAACACCCUCUCAUUCACUCUCUUCUCUCUCGAUCUAUACAUAUACAAACAAAAAGAAAUCAAACCCCACACAUAACACAGACAACAACCACAGCCGACUACCCCUGCCCCGCCCCCUCUCUGACGACACCCAUCUUUAUACCCCCGUGGCGACGUUCCAACGGAGGAGAGCCGUCGCCGUGCGGCGGCGUGACGACAAGACAGAGAAACAGAGGAGAGAGAAAGAUGAAGAGAGAGAGGGGAAGGGAGGCGAUGAGAGAGAAAGAGUGAAGAAGGAGCGCGGCAGCGACGGCGGGACUCGGCGGAGCUCGCCGAAACCGGCAAAGACGAAGACGAAGAUAGAGAGAGUUGGUGAUGUCGGCUGUGGUGGUCGUUUGUGGCUUCUUUCUGUUCAAUCUCAGUUCAGCAAGAGCGGGAUUAGCUUAGGCUCGAGGUUUGAAUUCUGAUUUGAUUUCAUGUUCGAGUUUUAGUUUCUAUCAGGUCGGAUCGGUUAUGGUGUGGGAUUGUUUCGUGUGUUGAUUGCAGCUCAAAUGGUUAGUUCGGGUGUUUGGGUGUCACGGUUAACUUCGGGUCGGUCUCGGUCAGAUCUGGGUCAUGUUUAAGCGGGUCAGGUUUGGAUUUCAGGUCACCCACGGGUUUUUGGGUCAUCACCGAGUCAAACCCGGUUAACUGAUGCCAACGGCAGCCAAAGGUUCGGGUCAGCGGGUCAACAGUUCCAAUAUGGUUCAGAUUUGGUGCGUUUCGGUUUAGAUUUUUGGUUCGGGUCGAUUCGGUCAAACUGAGGCGACUCGGUCAAAUCUGGUCAACUCGCUGAGUCAACUCGGUCAACUCAUGUUGAUGCACUUAAUCCGGCCAACUCAGUUGACCCGGUCAACUCAGCAAGCGUUUUGACACUAGAAGAUGGUAAAAGUUUAAGUCGCGAUUAUUUUUGUUAACUAUUCCUUAUUUUAAUAAUACGUGAUAACGAGCUCGAACCGACAUGAUUAUAGUUUACAUUUUAUGAAAUUUUUGGCAAAUUGAUAUAUUGGUAAUUGAAUCUUGGAUUGAAUUUUGAUAAAAUGACGACAACUUGUGUUGUCGGGGCGUCCAAAAAUAGAGGAAACUCUGCCCGUUUCUCGAAAAAAUCCGUAAAACUAACGUGUUUUUAUUUUAUGACGAAAGCUAUCAAACUCAAACGGCUAUUAUAAAAACAAAAUACAAGUGUAUAUUACUUUCAAUGACACUUCACAACAUCACGAAAGCGACGAUUCG
rnacentral:lncRNA from 1 species